GAAACCAACAGGGAUUCCCGAGUAAGGGCGACUGAAAGGGAGGAGCCCAGCGCAUAACCUCGCGGUCGUGGGCGGCCGUCGAGGGGUGUUGCGUCCAGGUGGAUCCGCACCGCCCGUGCCUCCUACCGCCUAAGUCAUUGCUUAAAAGCAGCCCAGAGCAGGGUGAAAGGCCCGUGUGGCGGCGCCUGUGAAAAGGGUUUAGGCGGCGCGGGCGGAGGGAUGCUCACCGGAGAGUCGGGUUGCUUAGUACUGCAGCCCAAAGCAGGUGGUAAACUCCAUCUAAGGCUAAAUAUGACCACGAGUCCGAUAGAAGACAAGUACCGUGAGGGAAAGUUGAAAAGUACUCUGAAGAGAGAGUCAAGAGGACGUGAAACCACUAGAAGCGCAAACGGGUGGAGCCGUGAAGGUCGAACGAGAGGGGAUUCAGCCCGCGGGCGGGCGGCCUGGUGCGGGGCGGCGGCAUACGACUAAUUGACAUGAGAGGACCCGGCGUAAAGCAGUGCAUGGCCCGGGCCCCGCCCCGCCAGCUGGCCCGCCUCCGCGGGUUUAGUUCUCCCGCAUCUAGUAGCACGCCGCGAGCCCCCGUGCCGGUCCCCGAAGGCCGUGCCGGACUGGUAGGCCCGACCCCUCGCGAGUCGGGACGAGGACCGGCGGCGGCGCGGAACGGGAGCGGACGGGGGAGACUGCGAGGAGGCCCCGCGAGGGGCCUCUCGCGGCGAUGAAUCGGUGGUCCACCCGA
rnacentral:rRNA from 1 species